AUUGAACGCUGGCGGCAGGCCUAACACAUGCAAGUCGAACGAGUGGCGGACGGGUGAGUAAUGUCUGGGAAACUGCCUGAUGGAGGGGGAUAACUACUGGAAACGGUAGCUAAUACCGCAUACCAUCAGAUGUGCCCAGAUGGGAUUAGCUUGUUGGUGGGGUAACGGCUCACCAAGGCGACGAUCCCUAGCUGGUCUGAGAGGAUGACCAGCCCCACUGGAGCUGAGACACGGUCCGUCCUCCUACGGGAGGCAGCAGUGGGGAAUGUUGCCCAAGGGGCGCAAGCCGGAUGCAGCCAUGCCGCGUGUAUGAGGAAGGCCUUCGGGUUGUAAAGUCCUUUCAGCGGGGAGGCUUUACCCGCAGAAGAAGCCCCGGCUAACUCCGUGCCAGCAGCCGCGGUAAUAC
rnacentral:rRNA from 1 species